rnacentral:rRNA from 1 species
UGGGGAAUAUUGCACAAUGGGCGAAAGCCUGAUGCAGCAACGCCGCGUGAGGGACGACGGCCUUCGGGUUGUAAACCUCUUUAGCAAGGAAGAAGCGAAAGUGACGGUACUUGCAGAAAAACGCGCCGGCUAACUACGUGCCAGCAGCCGCGGUAAUACGUAGGGCGCAAGCGUUAUCCGGAAUUAUUGGGCGUAAAGAGCUCGUAGGCGGUUUGUCGCGUCUGCUGUGAAAACCCGAGGCUCAACCUCGGGCCUGCAGUGGGUACGGGCAGACUAGAGUGCGGUAGGGGAGAUUGGAACUCCUGGUGUAGCGGUGGAAUGCGCAGAUAUCAGGAAGAACACCGAUGGCGAAGGCAGAUCUCUGGGCCGUAACUGACGCUGAGGAGCGAAACGGGUGGGGAGCAAACAGGCUUAGAUACCCUGGUAGUCACCCCGUAAACGUUGGGAACUAGUUGUGGGGUCCAUUCCACGGAUUCCGUGGCGCAGCUAACGCAUUAAGUUCCCCGCCUGGGG